rnacentral:rRNA from 1 species
GACGAAGGACCCGAGCGUUAUCCGGAUUCAUUGGGUUUAAAGGGUGCGUAGGCGGAUUGAUAAGUCAGUGGUGAAAGCCUGUUGCUUAACAACAGAACUGCCAUUGAUACUGUUGAUCUUGAAUAUGUUUGAUGUGGGCGGAAUAUGACAUGUAGCGGUGAAAUGCUUAGAUAUGUCAUAGAACACCGAUUGCGAAGGCAGCUCACAAAACCAUUAUUGACGCUGGAGGCACGAAAGCGUUGGGGAUCAAACAGG